rnacentral:lncRNA from 1 species
UGUUUUAAAAAAAACUGCUCUUUUUCAAAUUAUUGCCAUGAGGCAAUUGGUAAUGCAGUGUGCUACUGUCCAAGUGGAUAUAUUUUACAAAAAGAUAAUCGAACAUGUUUAAGAGAUCCAUGUUAUUAUAAAGGCUGCUACUCUCAAUUUUAUUGCAGUAUAGUGGCAGGUGAUGCAGUAUGCUCAUGUCCUUUCGGAUACCAAUUAAUCUUGGAUAAUAAAACAUGUGUGUCAGAUUCUUGUUAUAAAAAAAACUGCUCUUUUUCAAAAUAUUGCUAUGAGGCAAUUGGUGAUGCAGUGUGCCACUGUCCAUCUAGAUACUAUUUACAAAAAGAUAA